UCGACAGAGCCAGCCCGCCGCCCCUCUCCCUGGGGUUUUUAACUCUCAGGCUUGCCUACACCAAGCUCCCAGCAAUUCCUCAAGCGUCACUCAGCCGUCCCCCAACCUGAUGGAGGUUUCUGCUCUGGGGGGCCUGAUGGUCUGGCCCAUCAGAGCCAAGCUCGGACCGCAUGAAGCUGCAGCUCGGGCCCAAGGUUGUGGCAGGUGCCAAGGGCCGGGGGCCAACACGGACAAGUCUGAGCUUCAGGCCAGAGAGCCAGGCAGUAGACUGUCACCACCCGGAAGUCUGGCCCCCUCUUGACACUCAGUUCUUGUCUGGGCCGAGUCCUACUUUGUGGUCUGUGUAUGAUGGGCGGAGAGCUGGGACAACGGUGUGUGCGCCCAGGAAUGUCUGAAGCAGAGAAGGUUCAAAGCCAAAGAAGCCGCUGGAAAUCACACAGGAGCCUCCACGCAGUGACACUUCCCGGAGAGCUGAGUUCUCCUGCGACCUUGGCUUCUCAGUCACCUUGCCCGUGACAGGAAGCAGAGUUCCUCGAAGACAUGGCUGCUGGUCCCAGAGCUGGCGCGGAGGAAGUAGGAGGUGUGCCUGCAACAGCGUCUUGUGACGGAAGAGAGAAGAGACAGAGGAGGAGGAGGAGGAAGGCAGGAAGUGGGGAAGGAAGACUCAGAAACCGUAGAAGACGUAGGAACCUGAUGGAGAAACCUCCCACCGGAUACGUUGGGAACAGUAUAAAUAUUAAAAGGGGUGAUGACUCAAUGGAUUACAAGACAUUAAAAAAUACAGGGGUGCCCGGGCAA